rnacentral:rRNA from 1 species
UGAGUAGGCGGUUACGUAUGUCAGAUGUAAAAGGCACAGGCUUAACUUGUGUUAGCAUUUGAAACUGUGUGACUUGAGUGCAGGAGAGGUAAGUGGAAUUCCUAGUGUAGCGGUGAAAUGCGUAGAUAUUAGGAGGAACACCAAGUGGCGAAGGCGACUUACUGGACUGUAACUGACGCUGAGUCACGAAAGCGUGGGUAGCAAACA